AAGUCGUAACAAGGUCUCCGUAGGUGAACCUGCGGAGGGAUCAUUACCAAGUACAACCCGUCUCCGGACGGGCUGCUACCAACCCUUUGUUGUCCGACCGCGUUGCCUCCGGGGCGACCCUGACCUUCGGGUUUUGGGGGACCCCGGGUGGACACCUAAACUCUGCGUAACUUUGCAGUCUGAGUAAAAAGAUUAAAUCAAUCAAAACUUUCAACAACGGAUCUCUUGGUUCUG
rnacentral:misc_RNA from 1 species